rnacentral:rRNA from 1 species
CAGUCGCCGCGGGAAUACGUAGGUCCCGAGCGUUGUCCGGAUUUAUUGGGCGUAAAGGGAGCGCAGGCGGUUUAGUAAGUCUGAAGUUAAAGGCAUUGGCUCAACCAAUGUAUGCUUUGAAAACUGUUAGACUUGAGUGCAGAAGGGGAGAGUGGAAUUCCAUGUGUAGCGGUGAAAUGCGUAGAUAUAUGGAGGAACACCGGUGGCGAAAGCGGCUCUCUGGUCUGUCACUGACGCUGAGGCUCGAAAGCGUGGGUAGCGAACAGGAUUAGAUACCCCAGUAGUCCCUGUCUCUUAUACA